AGCUCCAAUAGCGUAUAUUAAAGUUGUUGCGGUUAAAAAGCUCGUAGUUGGAUCUCGGCGAGUAGGGGGCGGUUCAUUAUCUGAUGUUACUGCCCCAUUUACUCGUGUUUUUGACAGCCGGUUGGUGGUCCCCUUAAAUGGGUGUCGCCAGUCACUGUCAGGUUUACUUUGAAAAAAUUAGAGUGCUCAAAGCAGGCUUAUAACGCUUGAAUAUUCGUGCAUGGAAUAAUAGAAUAGGAAGUCGUUUCUAUUUUGUUGGUUUUCGGAAAAUGACUUAAUGAUUAAUAGGGACAAUCGGGGGCAUUAGUAUUCAAACGACAGAGGUGAAAUUCUUGGACCGUUUGAAGACUAACUACUGCGAAAGCAUUUGCCAAGAGUGUUU
rnacentral:rRNA from 1 species